UCCCGUAUUUAAGAGAAAAAAAUAAUAAACCCAGAGGGUCAUAUUUAUUUAGAGGUUUCUGGGUGUUGCGCCUCUUCGCUCACGAACUGAGGCAGUGAUUCACUUUUGUUUGUACAGCUAUAAAAGCACCGAGCUAUUGAAAAGUCAUAAAACGAAGCGCGCAAUCCAUCAUCCCGUAACGUGCGCCAUCAUCACGCCAUCCUGCAACGUGCGGAGAAAAAAAAAAAGGGGGAAGCUGAAUUACUGCCACGAUUAACUUCAACUUGUUAUGAAUCAAACAAAAGUGUUUAAAAAUCAUAAUUAAAGAAGACAAAAUAUGAACAUGUUAUUUCCAGCCUUUAGCCGUCUGAAGAAUUAAUCCAGGUCCUGGGAUGUGAGGAACGCAGAGGACACGGAAUUAUCUCCAAGUGCGCAUUUUCUGUUUCUCCAGCCGGCGCAGAAUCUCCUCCGGAACCAGGCGCAUACGCCUUUGCGCGUCCCGUGUCCGUGCGCCGGCGCGCCUUCUCGGGAAAGACGAGUGGAGCCUGGAACGGUUGAAGACCCCGAGACGCGCCCCGGGGUUCACGCUCGGGCGCCUCCUUUGUGCCAUUCCCCCCCACAAACCACCUAAUAAAUAAAGGCGCUUUCUCCAAACGUGCCGGCUGCAAAGCGCCUCAUUUAUUUUUUCAUUUGACGGUGACAAGCCUCCGUCGUGCUUAAUUGGGUGUAAUGACGGUUUGUUCUGCCACAAGAAGGUGAAUUUGUGUUUAUUUAAGAACUUUUUUCCUCAUCCGACUGAAAACGAAGCCCUUUAUUUUCGAUAUCUGCAGCAAAAUCCAAAUAUUUUUGGUGUCACUGAUAUUAAAGUGGCCAUUUUUUAAUUAAAUGCAUGUUAAAAAAUAUAUAUUUGUAAUUUUCCUCCACGUGCUGCAGAUUAUUGCAGUUUUGACGCUGGAUUUAUAAAAGCGUUGAAUUAUAGUAAAUUUAUUGUGCGCUAUUAGGAAUUCGUUCAUUCCGUGUUGUAAAAAUCCCCACAGAAUCAUCCAUGAACAAACAACAAUAAUAAUAAAUUGAAGGAUGUCUGCGUGAAUAAACCCGGCUGCCGGUUCGUCGGAAGCACGGGCGCAGCGUGCACAAUUAAACAAAUAUUGCUCUUCCACACAGAUAUUAAAUCAGCUUAUUUUAUUGGAUGUAAUUUGCGGGAGAAAUCAAAGCCAAUUAUAUGAAUGAGGAGGAAUGAACUUGUGGAUGUGGAGGGUGGAGGUCUGCAAAAAGGGGGGGAAAAAAAAAAAAAA